ACAGGGAGGAUACAGUAUAUGCAGAAUUCAGAAUGACACAGUGAAGAUUUAGCAUGGCCUUUGCACAAGGAUGGAAUGUAAAUCUGUGCAGCAUUCCAUAUUUUA